rnacentral:tRNA from 1 species
GCACCAGUGGUUCAGUGGUAGAUCCUUCACCUUCCACGUGAGCAACCCGGGUUUAAUACCUGGCCAAUGCA